AGAGUUUGAUCCUGGCUCAGGACGAACGCUGGCGGCGUGCAUAAUGCAUGCAAGUCGAACGCAGCAGCUUCGGCUGGCUGCGUGGCGAACGGCUGAGGAACACGUGGGUAACUGCCCCGGAGUGGGGGAUACCCCGUCGAAAGACGGGAUAAUCCCGCAUACGCUCUACGGAGGAAAGCCCCUACGGGCGCUCCGGGAGGGGCCUGCGGCCCAUCAGGUCGUUGGUGUGGUAACGGCGCACCAAGCCGCUGACGGGUACCCGGUCUGAGAGGACGACCGGGCAGACUGGGACUGCGACACGGCCCAGACUCCUACGGGAGGCAGCAGCAAGGAAUUUUCCCCAAUGGGCGCAAGCCUGAGGGAGCAACGCCGCGUGGAGGACGACGGCCUUCGGGUUGUAAACUCCUUUCGGGUGGGACGACUACGACGGUACCACCAGAAGCAGCCCCGGCUAACUCUGUGCCAGCAGCCGCGGUAAGACAGAGGGGGCAAGCGUUGUCCGGAGUUACUGGGCGUAAAGGGCGCGGAGGCGGCCUGCGGCGUCGGCGCUGAAAGCGCCCCGCUUAACGGGGCGAGGCGUGCCGAUACGCGCAGGCUCGAGGCGAGCAGAGGGUGGUGGAAUUCCGGGUGGAGCGGUGAAAUGCGUAGAGAUCCGGAGGAACGCCAGUGGGGAAGCCGGCCACCUGGGCUCGGCCUGACGCUGCGGCGCGACAGCGUGGGGAGCAAACCGGAUUAGAUACCCGGGAAGUCCACGCCGUAAACGAUGCCAGCUCGGCGUGUGGCGCACGAUGGUGCGCUGCGUGCCUUAGCUCACGCGAUAAGCUGGCCGCCUGGGACUACGAGCGCAAGCUGAGUCUGUCCAAAAC
rnacentral:rRNA from 1 species